rnacentral:rRNA from 1 species
UACGAAGGGGGCUAGCGUUGCUCGGAAUCACUGGGCGUAAAGCGCACGUAGGCGGAUUCCUAAGUCGGGGGUGAAAUCCUGGAGCUCAACUCCAGAACUGCCUUCGAUACUGGGAAUCUUGAGUCCGGAAGAGGUGAGUGGAACUGCGAGUGUAGAGGUGAAAAUUCGUAGAUAUUCGCAAGAACACCAGUGGCGAAGGCGGCUCACUGGUCCGGUACUGACGCUGAGGUGCGAAAGCGUGGGGAGCAAACAGG